CUGAGGGAGUGACGAGCACGCGCUACCGGAGACAAGGAGGAGCUCCCCUGCGGGUGUUCCUCACAGGGCGCAGUUUUACUGGUAUUAAAUAUGUGAAAGUUCUGGCCAUCUAUUUUCAGUCUGGCCUGUGAUCACAGAUUUGGUACUUCUGGAUGUGGGGAUUGGAUGGAUCAUGGCUGAUCGUGAAAGUUAAGAGUUUUUGAUUCCUAAUUCCAAGUUUGAUCUCCUGUUUUGCUAAAGCACAUUCUCCAAGAGGGGUUGCAAGGCAGUUCUACCAUAUUAAAGCUCCUUGCAUUCCUUGGCUCAUGCUCCCAAUCCAUCUUUAAAGCUGGCAGCAUAGCAUCCUCAAAUGCUUCUCUAACUCUGACCUUCCUGCCUUUCUGUAUCACUUACAAGGACCCUUGUGACUAUAUUGGGCCCACCCAGGUAAUCCAGAAUAAUAUCUCCAUUUUGUGGUCAGCUGCUUAGCAACCUUAAUUCCCCUUUACUGUAUAACUUCACAUAUUCACAGUUAGAUAUGCUAUUUGUGUGGCAGUUAUUCAGCCUGUCACACUCAGAAGGGAGAAGAAAUCAGUAUUAGUGAAUUUUAUCUGCCUACUAUAUAUAGAUAGGUGAUGGUCUUUUUCUUGUGAGUUCUUUUAAGGACAUUUCUUUUAAUAAUUGGAAAAGAAGACAUAAUGCCAGUGAAAAGAAAUUCAUGCUUCUGAAGCUUUUCUUCAUAGGCUGAGUCUUUGUGAAGUUUCAUGCAAAUAGUUCAGAAGUAACAUUUGUCUGCUGUGGUCACUAAAAUCUACAUAUACUCCUGAAAAGGGUUACAAAUUAUGAACUUUCACAAUACUGUACUCUGUAAUCAUAUUCUGUUUUAUGUAUGCCUUGCUAUAUGUUAUUUACUUAGCAAUAAUGAUGCUGUUACCCAUUGAAGAGAAAAAUAAACAUUGAAAAUCCUGGUCAGGCACAAAGUAUGCUAUUGACAUAGAUCUCUAAUAAAACUGAUUUAGUUUUCAGCUUUAUAUGGAUAAAAGCUGACAUUGACCUUUGUGUUCAGUGCUUGGUGUGUUUU